rnacentral:rRNA from 1 species
UACGUAGGGGGCAAGCGUUGUCCGGAAUCAUUGGGCGUAAAGAGCGUGUAGGCGGCCCGAUAAGUCCGCUGUGAAAGUCCGGGGGCUCAACCCCCGGGAGGCGGGCGGAUACUGUCGGGCUAGAGUCCGGAAGAGGCGAGUGGAAUUCCUGGUGUAGCGGCGAAAUGCGCAGAUAUCAGGAGGAACACCAAUGGCGAAGGCAGCUCGCUGGGACGGUACUGACGCUGAGGCGCGAAAGCGUGGGGAGCAAACAGG